rnacentral:rRNA from 1 species
UACGGAGGGGACUAGCGUUGUUCGGAAUUACUGGGCGUAAAGCGCACGUAGGCGGACUCUUAAGUCGGGGGUGAAAUCCUGGAGCUCAACUCCAGAACUGCCUUCGAUACUGGGAGUCUUGAGUUCGGGAGAGGUGAGUGGAACUGCGAGUGUAGAGGUGAAAUUCGUAGAUAUUCGCAAGAACACCAGUGGCGAAGGCGGCUCACUGGCCCGAUACUGACGCUGAGGUGCGAAAGCGUGGGGAGCAAACAGG